CAAUAGCGUAUAUUAAAGUUGUUGCGGUAAAAAAGCUCGUAGUUGGAUUUCUGUUGAGAGCGACCGGUCCAUACCAUGUAUGCGUAUCUGGCUUGCUCUCGGCAUCCUCUCGAUAGACGUUACUGCGCUUGAUUGCGUGGUGCGGAUCUCGGGACUUUUACUUUGAGGAAAUUAGAGUGUUCACGGCAGGCUUUCGCCAGAAUACAUUAGCAUGGAAUAAUACUAUAGGAUCUUGGUUCUAUUUUGUUGGUUUCUAGAAUUGAGAUAAUGAUUAAUAGGGACAAUUGGGGGCAUUCGUAUCAACACGUCAGAGGUGGGAUUCUUGGAUUGUGUUGCGACGAACUACUGCGAAAGCAUUUGCCAAGGAUGUUUUCAUUGA
rnacentral:rRNA from 1 species